rnacentral:sRNA from 1 species
CCCUAGCCCGGAUGGAAGUGGAAAUCCUUUUGAAAAGAACUGCCAUUUUUUCUUGUUCCGGCAAAGCGACCAACGGAAGCUCUUGCAAGGACUUAGAAAAAAUAGCGGUUCUUGAAAAAGAUUACAACGAACAGCCGGAUUAAGC